rnacentral:rRNA from 1 species
GAGUUUGAUCGUGGCUCAGAUUGAACGCUGGCGGCAGGCCUAACACAUGCAAGUCGAGCGGUAGAGAGAAGCUUGCUUCUCUUGAGAGCGGCGGACGGGUGAGUAAUGCCUAGGAAUCUGCCUGGUAGUGGGGGAUAACGCUCGGAAACGGACGCUAAUACCGCAUACGUCCUACGGGAGAAAGCAGGGGACCUUCGGGCCUUGCGCUAUCAGAUGAGCCUAGGUCGGAUUAGCUAGUUGGUGAGGUAAUGGCUCACCAAGGCGACGAUCCGUAACUGGUCUGAGAGGAUGAUCAGUCACACUGGAACUGAGACACGGUCCAGACUCCUACGGGAGGCAGCAGUGGGGAAUAUUGGACAAUGGGCGAAAGCCUGAUCCAGCCAUGCCGCGUGUGUGAAGAAGGUCUUCGGAUUGUAAAGCACUUUAAGUUGGGAGGAAGGGCAGUAAAUUAAUACUUUGCUGUUUGACGUUACGACAGAAUAAGCACGGCUAACUCUGUGCCAGCAC